GUGUUUGCUUUGGCAACACAUGGAUUAAAGUUGGGAUGAUGCAGAGAAGAUUAGCAUGGCCCCCGGGCAAUGAUGACAUGCAUAGUGGUGAAGCAUUUCAUAUUUUA